AUUGAACGCUGGCGGCAGGCCUAACACAUGCAAGUCGAACGAGUGGCGGACGGGUGAGUAAUGUCUGGGAAACUGCCUGAUGGAGGGGGAUAACUACUGGAAACGGUAGCUAAUACCGCAUACCAUCAGAUGUGCCCAGAUGGGAUUAGCUUGUGGGUGGGGUAACGGCUCAACAAGGCGACGAUCCCUAGCUGGUCUGAGAGGAUGACCACCCACACUGGAACUGAGACACGGCCCAGACUCCUACGGGGUGCAGCAGGGGGGAAUUUUGCACAAUGGGCGCAAGCCUGAUGCAGCCAUGCCGCGUGUAUGAAGAAGGCCUGCGGGUUUUAAAGUACUUUCAGCGGGGAGGCGUUACCCGCAGAAGAAGCCCCGGCUAACUCCGUGCCAGCCGCCGCGGUAAUAC
rnacentral:rRNA from 1 species